ACUCUGCUUUCUAAGAAGGCUCAGAGACCGUCCGUAUUUAAGAAGUCUGAACAUUUGUGCUCCCCCCACCCCCACAAUUACCGGGAUACUUGCAAUCUGCCGGUGCCUCCCCGGGAGGGAAAGCCCGUGGCCCACACGGAAAGACCGGAAUCGCAAGCGAGAGAACUUUUCCCUCUCCCUCCCCCUGUUGCUACCAAAAUUUCAACUGUGCCACAACUAUGCCUAGAGACAGCGUGCCGCGCGAAUUGCCUGACUGUACUUGAAAGCGGCAGUACCCUGGGCGCGCCGACCAUGGAAGCCGCGCUCGGCGGGGGCUUCGCAGCCUACUCUCGACGCCCGGGCAGCCGCCCUCGCGGCAGUGUCAGUCCCUGAACUUGGCCGCCAAGAUCCUGGGCUGCAGCCGCAGCUCCGCCCGGGAGCCAGAUGCUG
rnacentral:lncRNA from 1 species